rnacentral:rRNA from 1 species
UGGGGGAUAUUGCACAAUGGGCGAAAGCCUGAUGCAGCGACGCCGCGUGGGGGAUGAAGGCCUUCGGGUUGUAAACUUCUUUUGCUCUGAACAAGGCAUGCCAAUGGGUGUGUUGAGUGUAGGGGUUGAUUAGCGCCGGCUAACUACGUGCCAGCAGCCGCGGUAAUACGUAGGGCGCGAGCGUUGUCCGGAAUUAUUGGGCGUAAAGGGCUGGUAGGUGGCUGGUUGCGUCUGUCGUGAAAGCUCAUGGCUUAACUGUGGGUUUGCGGUGGGUACGGGCUGGCUUGAGUGCAGUAGGGGAGGCUGGAAUUCCUGGUGUAGCGGUGGAAUGCGCAGAUAUCAGGAGGAAUACCGGUGGCGAAGGCGGGUCUCUGGGCUGUUACUGACACUGAGGAGCGAAAGCAUGGGGAGCGAACAGG